CAAUGAGUCAAAUUAAACUAGUGGGUUUUAUAGAGAAGUAGAACUAAUAGUUUCGUAUCCAUAUUUUAUUACUUCAGUAAAGUGUUUAAAUCUACGAUAAAUUAUUACCAGUAUUUUCGCGUUCAAGUCGAAAUAAUUCGUCAAGUUGUGACGUGACGUUUAUGAAAGUAGGAAGAACGGAAUUUUCCUCUUUAAAAAACGGAAAACAAGUGUACAAUUUCAGUAAAAUGCACAAAAUGAUACCUUUGAGAAAUGUUCAUGCUAAAUAUAUUCUAUUGGUGACGAAUAAGAAAAACAUAUUUAUUGUUUACGACUUUGCGUGCGAGGUUGCCGAUAACAAUAUUAAAUAUCAAUAUUGGAAAUGGUGCGACGACGAAUGUUUGGAAGUGUUUGAAAAAUCAAAUUGUUUUAACUGUAGUGAAAACACAAUCGGCAUCCUCGUAUUUCGUCCUAUGUAUAAAUGAAUAGAUGAAGCGGACGUGUUCCAUAUUGUUUAUAACCAGACUGAAGCGAACAUAAUGAAAUCGGCAAAUCUGAGAUCAAUUAUGGAACCGUACUUACCAAACAUCAGAUUUCUAACAAUACCACCGGAUCGCUUUAACCGUUCUGUUUUGCCAGUUGUGAAACGAAAAUUAUUGGCAGAUGAAGAAAUUUAAGGCACAACAAAAUCAUUAUCAACGACAUCUAUAUCAAAUCUUUCUGCUACUAUUUGCAGAAAUAGAGAAAAGAGAAAAUACUGUAUAUAUGAGAAUCGAAGUUCCAUGAAAACUGAUAAAGAUUCUUGCGACCAGUAACACCCGAUUUCUGUGUAAAAUAAUUGCAGAACACAAUUGCUUCGUUAUUAAAAUUAUUUUUCCAAUACGACAUGCCAAACACUGCAGUUCUGUAGAAGGUACUGCAGUUAUUGUGGAUGAUGUUAAUGUUUCUAGAAAGCACUCAUUUAUUAAUUAAAGAAAAUUUUCGUGAUGCCGAAGGAG